GCCCUCGUAGCUCAAUUGGAUAGAGCGCUGCCCUCCGAAGGCAGAGGUUGGUGGUUCGAGUCCACCCGAGGGCG
rnacentral:tRNA from 2 species